rnacentral:rRNA from 1 species
CACGUAGGCACCAAGCGUUGUCCGGAUUUAUUGGGCGUAAAGAGCUUGUAGGCGGUUCGGUUAGUCGGGUGUGAAACCUCUGGGCUCAACUCAGAGACGCCACCCGAUACUGCUGUGACUAGAGUGCGGUAGGGGAGCGGGGAAUUCCUGGUGUAGCGGUGAAAUGCGCAGAUAUCAGGAAGAACACCCGUGGCGAAAGCGGCUCUCUGGGACGGUACUGACGCUGAGACGCGAAAGCGUGGGGAGCGAACAGG